AACGUUACUAACUAUGUAACGUCAACGUUAGGCUAGCUAUCUUAGCUAACGUUAUAUGUAUCACCCGAUUGCUAAAUUACUACCCUACUAACAAUGUUCUACGCAAGCAAAAGAUGUGCCCUCAAAUUCGUCUAGCUUCACUAGCUACUAACAUUAGUUUGCUAAAUCUAAGCGGUUGCUAAGUCGUCUGAUUACUUACUGAUCAGCCUCUGAACGAAAUCUGGCAUGAUAGAUCUGACACUAUGGAGACCUGAAUGGCACAGACUUAGCAGGAGAGGAACGACAUGCAUGCUCUCUUCUCUGCUGAGACCGAUCCAGCCCCAGCAGCGCAGGCCCAGCACUAACAGUGGUCCUCCCUACAGGCUGUCCUGUCUCACUCCCCUUUGACACCAGCUUCUGCCACAACAAAAUAGGAUUGCUCUGAAGAGUACCUGCUGGAUACAGAUUGGCCAAGCACACCUCUGCCAGCCACACCACCACUGCCCUUGACAGCUUCUCCACUGGGUCCAACAAGAGAUGAGGUUGCCUCUUCAUCUUGGAUCAUGGCUGAUGGACAGAGCCCAUUAGAGCUGCCAGUGAUGUCCUACUGGCCAAGCACCACAGGGAGGAAGAGAUCCUGAAGUGGGUGGAUCUGCUUUACUCUUAACACCAGCCCAGAGAAGCUCUUAGAGACACACAGCUGUGGCAUUAUGUUACUGCAGAGUGAAACGGUUAGUGUCACAGUCACGUCCCCUGCCACCUGCACUUACACAGCAGAAAGCCUCAUCAAUUCAAGGAUUCCAUUUGAGGAUUUUGCUGCCGCUGCCUUCUUUCAAUGGGGGCUGGAGGCCUCGAAGCAGUGGUAGGCAGUGAGGAAGGAGCAAACUGAGGAAAGAAAAUCCUCUGAGCAGCAUCCUUCCGGCCAUCUAUACAGCUGCUGCUACCAGCAGCUGAAACAAGGCCCCAACAGCCCUCACACACACAUACCAGCUUUCCAUGAGUGGCAGGAAAAUAUCUAGUGUUCUCCCUGUACCUGGCACAGGGCAUUGGCAGGAGCUCAAACAGUCUGCAUUUUAUGAGACUGAAAAGUAAAGAUGGAUGGUGGAAAAGGGGGUGUGACUACAGACACACACAAAUAAAUAAAGAGCUGAAAAUCUAUUUCCAUUGAUGGAAGUGGUUUGGACUCGUUUGAUUUGUAUUUAUUUCACAGGUACAAUUUUAGAAUAAGGCUGUAACCUAACAAAAUGUGGAAAAAGUCAAGGGGUCUGAAUACUUUCCGAAUGCACUGUAUUAUUUUUUUAGGGCUACUUUGUGUAAAUGUUGCACAAAGACCAACAUUUUAUACUAAUCACGGUGAAUAUGUCUUGUAUUAUAAACCAAUUUCUAUAAUUAUUGUGUGAAUAAGUUUGUUGUACAAAUGAUUGUGAUCCAACAUUAUCAUAACUAUGGCUUUGAUUUCAUUAAAGUCAACCUCAAAGUAAUUUUCUCUAUGAGUUGCUUUAAUGUUUUCUUUAUUAAUAACAUACAUGCAUUUCAAAUCGUGCUAUAACACUCAUAAAUAUGCCUGAUUUCAUUCAAUUAAACCACAACGUAAUCUUCAA